AUUGCCCUAGUAACGGCGAGUGAAGCGGCAACAGCUCAAAUUUGAAAUCUGGCCCUAGCGGUCCGAGUUGUAAUUUGUAGAGGAUGCUUUUGGUGAGGUGCCUUCCGAGUUCCCUGGAACGGGACGCCGGAGAGGGUGAGAGCCCCGUACGGUUGGACGCCAAACCUCUGUAUAGCUCCUUCGACGAGUCGAGUAGUUUGGGAAUGCUGCUCUAAAUGGGAGGUAAAUUUCUUCUAAAGCUAAAUACCGGCCAGAGACCGAUAGCGCACAAGUAGAGUGAUCGAAAGAUGAAAAGCACUUUGAAAAGAGGGUUAAAUAGCACGUGAAAUUGUUGAAAGGGAAGCGUUUGCGACCAGACUUUUUCCAGGCGGAUCAUCCGGCGUUCUCGCCGGUGCACUCCGCCUGGUUGAGGCCAGCAUCGGUUUCCUUAGGGGGAUAAAGGCCUGGGGAACGUAGCUCCUUCGGGAGUGUUAUAGCCCCUGGCGUAAUACCCCUCGGGGGACCGAGGAACGCGCUCUGCAAGGAUGCUGGCGUAAUGGUCGUCAACGACCCGUCUUGAAACACGGACCAAGGAGUCGAACAUUUGUGCGAGUGUUUGGGUGUCAAACCCUCACGCGUAAUGAAAGUGAACGGAGGUGAGAGCCCUUACGGGUGCAUCAUCGACCGAUCCUGAUGUCUUCGGAUGGAUUUGAGUAAGAGCAUAACUGUUCGGACCCGAAAGAUGGUGAACUAUGCGUGGAUAGGGUGAAGCCAGAGGAAACUCUGGUGGAGGCUCGCAGCGGUUCUGACGUGCAAAUCGAUCGUCAAAUCUGCGCAUGGGGGCGAAAGACUUAUCGAACCAUCUAGUAGCUGGUUACCGCCGAU
rnacentral:rRNA from 1 species